rnacentral:rRNA from 1 species
AUGGCGGUCGGCAAGAACAAGCGCAUCUCCAAGGGGAGGAAGGGAAGCAAGAAGAAGGCCGUCGAUCCGUUCACCAAGAAGCAGUGGUAUGACAUCAAGGCGCCGCUGCUGUUCACCAGCCGCAACGUCGGCAAGACCCUCGUGUCCAGGACGCAGGGUACCAAGAUUGCCUCAGAGGGUCUGAAGCACAGGGUGUUCGAAGUAUCUCUAGCUGAUCUUCAGAACGAUGAGGACCAGGCCUACAGGAAGAUCAGACUCCGUGCUGAGGAUGUGCAAGGGAUGAAUGUCCUCACAAACUUCUGGGGCAUGGACUUCACCACUGACAAGCUCAGGUCUCUUGUGAGGAAGUGGCAGACACUCAUUGAGGCUCAUGUGGAUGUGAAGACCACUGACAACUACAUGCUCCGCAUGUUCGCCAUUGGCUUCACCAAGAGACGCCCAAACCAGGUGAAGCGCACUUGCUAUGCCCAAGCAAGUCAGAUCAGACAGAUCCGCCGCAAGAUGGUUGAGAUCAUGGUCAACCAAGCUGCAAGCUGUGACUUGAAGGAGCUUGUGAACAAGUUCAUCCCUGAGGUGAUUGGAAAGGAGAUUGAGAAGGCCACCUCAGGCAUCUUCCCCCUCCAGAACGUGUACGUCCGCAAGGUGAAGAUCCUGAAGGCCCCCAAGUUCGACCUGGGGAAGCUCAUGGAGGUUCACGGUGACUACAAGGAGGAUGUUGGUGUGAAGCUUGACAGGCCUGCUGAUGGAGAUGAGGUGAUUCCUGGAGCAGAGGAGGUUGCUGCUGCUGAGUAG